rnacentral:rRNA from 1 species
GACGAACGCUGGCGGCGUGCUUAACACAUGCAAGUCGAACGGUAAGGCCCUUCGGGGUACACGAGUGGCGAACGGGUGAGUAACACGUGGGUGAUCUGCCCUGCACUUCGGGAUAAGCCUGGGAAACUGGGUCUAAUACCGGAUAGGACCACUGCCUGCAUGGGUGGUGGUGGAAAGCUUUUGCGGUGUGGGAUGGGCCCGCGGCCUAUCAGCUUGUUGGUGGGGUGAUGGCCUACCAAGGCGACGACGGGUAGCCGGCCGGAGAGGGUGACCGGCCACACUGGGACUGGGAUACGGCCCAGAAUCCUGCGGGAGGCAGCAGUGGGGAAUAGCGCGUAAUGGGCGCAAGCCUGAUGCAGCGACGCCGCGUGGGGGAUGCCGGCCUUCGGGUUGUAAACCUCUUUCAGCACCGACGAAGCGCAAGUGACGGUAGGUGCAGAAGAAGGCCCGGCCAACUACGUGCCAGCCGCCGCCGUAA